AUGAAGUCCAAUUAACAUUGAAUGAGGAGAACAAGAGAUUUGGGUAUAAAGCUUAGAUCUUCCAGGCAAGCACAAGUUUGGUCAGGAUGCACUACGAGCUCAGAAGGUGAUUUCUGGUACUGUGGACAGCUCCGGAAUUAUGCCAAAACCUUCCAAUGGCAACCUGAUGCAUCACCAUGGAAACCUAAACUCCUGUGGAAAGUUAGGAGACCACAAGGGACCACUUUGUAAUCAGUGAAGAAUAUUUUCAGCUCAAGGAGAAGGGGAAAGGGACAUGCCACCCUCACCAGUUCUUCCUCUGGAUGUGGAUAGUGUUCUUUCUCAUCGAUCCCUCGGCGUCGUCCUUUAUCACUGCAUUAAUACUAAUGGAGAAGUCCAUCACCUUCGAUUGUACCACA